rnacentral:rRNA from 1 species
AGUAACGGCGAGUGAAGCGGCAACAGCUCAAAUUUGAAAUCUGGCGCAAGCCCGAGUUGUAAUUUGCAGAGGAUGUUUCGGGUGAAGCCACGGUCCAAGUCCCUUGGAACAGGACGUCAUAGAGGGUGAGAACCCCGUACCUGGCCGUCGGUGCCCCCCGCUGUGAAACUCCUUCGACGAGUCGAGUUGUUUGGGAAUGCAGCUCUAAAUUGGUGGUAAAUUCCAUCUAAAGCUAAAUACCGGCCAGAGACCGAUAGCGCACAAGUAGAGUGAUCGAAAGAUGAAAAGCACUUUGAAAAGAGAGUUAAAAAGUACGUGAAAUUGUUGAAAGGGAAGCGCUUGCGGCCAGACUUGCCCGCGGUUGCUCAGCCCGCCUUUUGGCGGGUGCACUCUUCCGCGGUCAGGCCAGCAUCGGUUUGGGCGGUCGGAUAAAGGCGUCGGGAACGUGGCCUCCCCUCGGGGAGGUGUUAUAGCCCGGCGCGCAAUGCGGCCAGCCCGGACCGAGGUUCGCGCUUUGCUAGGAUGCUGGCGUAAUGGCCGUAAGCGGCCCGUCUUGAAACACGGACCAAGGAGUCUAACAUCUAUGCGAGUGUUUGGGUGUCAAACCCGUGCGCGUAAUGAAAGUGAACGGAGGUGGGAACCGCAAGGUGCACCAUCGACCGAUCCUGAUGUCUUCGGAAGGAUUUGAGUAGAGCAUAGCUGUUGGGACCCCGAAAGAUGGUGAACUAUGCGUGAUAGGGGUGGUUCACAGACUAGACGGCGGUGGGCGCGGCGAGCGCUUAAGAUAUAGUCGAUCCAGCCCCUCAAGGGGCCGAGAGUAGUAGCUGGUUCCUGCCGAAGUUUCCCUCAGGAUAGCAGUAACGUUUUCAGUUUUAUGAGGUAAAGCGAAUGAUUAGAGGCCUGGGGGUUGAAACUAACCUUCACCUAUUCUCAAACUUUAAAUAUGUAAGAAGUCCUUGUUACUUAGUUGAACGUGGACAUUUGAAUGCACCGUUACUAGUGGGCCAUUUUUGGUAAGCAGAACUGGCGAUGCGGGAUGAACCGAACGGGGGGUUAAGGUGCCGGAAUGCACGCUCAUCAGACACCACAAAAGGUGUUGGUUCAUCUAGACAGCAGGACGGUGGCCAUGGAAGUCGGAAUCCGCUAAGGAGUGUGUAACAACUCACCUGCCGAAUGAACCAGCCCUGAAAAUGGAUGGCGCUCAAGCGUGCUACCCAUACCCCCCCUCCGCGGCAGGCUUUAUGCCGCGGAGAGUAGGCAGG